UGCCCAUCACAGAUGAAUGGAUAAAGAAGAUGUGGUACAAGAAAUUGUUAAUGUGGCUACAUUGAGAGGCAGGUCGUGCUUCCAUCACAGUGCUUUUAUUGCAGUGGUGACAAUGAGACCUGUAACAUUU